rnacentral:rRNA from 1 species
UACGUAGGGUCCGAGCGUUGUCCGGAUUUAUUGGGCGUAAAGAGCUCGUAGGCGGUGUGUCACGUCGGCCGUGAAAACCUGCAGCUUAACUGUGGGCGUGCGGUCGAUACGGGCAUCACUGGAGUUCGGCAGGGGAGACUGGAAUUCCUGGUGUAGCGGUGAAAUGCGCAGAUAUCAGGAGGAACACCGGUGGCGAAGGCGGGUCUCUGGGCCGAUACUGACGCUGAGGAGCGAAAGCGUGGGGAGCGAACAGG